rnacentral:tRNA from 1 species
GUGCCUGUUUUCUUUGAGGUCGUCCUUAGCCUACGAAUCUGAGGGUCGGACGUUCGAAUCGUUCCGGGCGCGCCA